AGGAGCGCAGAGUCCUGGGCUGUGUCCCCCGCGCCCUGGGCUCCAGGGCCUGCGCUGCUGGCAUCGCACUCCCGGGCCGUGGCUCCC
rnacentral:pre_miRNA from 1 species